UUUGCAAGUAAACCCUCACUUCUCUUCUCCGAUGUUGAGCUCCUCCGCACUGCGAAAACCCUCUCUUUUAUCUUUCCCCUUCGCGAGACGAGACUCCUCCUCCUCCCUUCUCCCUUCUUCUUCUCCUCCUCCUCCUCCUUCUUUCUCUUCGUGCAAGCGCCAAUCAUGGUCUCCAUUCCUCUCGUCUCCUCUCAAACCUUCGGUCCCCAAGAAGAUCUAUUCCACCAUCUCCGUCCAUGGCUUUUCCUGGGAUGACCUCUUCCGCUGGAUGUCCAACACUUCCGACCUUGAUCUCCUCUGCUAUCUUCAGCACGCGAACUCUUAGUCACCCAAGAACUUCAGAGAUGAAGAACUACAUGCCUCCAAAGGUCUCAACCCCGCCAGAAUGCUGGGACAAACGAUAUGGCCAAGCUUAGGCAUUGGCUGCUUCUUUGGCAUCCUUAAUGCUGAGAUGGAUCAUCGUACAGAAAGGCACAUGGUUUGCCGAGUAAUAGCUCUUUGAAAUGUGUCCUCUCUCCAUAGAAAAAAAAACUGAGAGCAGAUUUUGCAUAUGAUUUGCUAUUUACUGAAAAUGAUUUGAGUUGCUGUGUUGAUAUCACAAAGCUCAAAAGAUGGCAAGUUUGUCACUAUUAACUCUAAUUCGAGGGCCUCAUCGGAGGAAGGUUUAUGUAAUGGAUGCAGCAAACUAUAAAAAUGGCUUAAUGCCAGUUCGAAAAUAUGUGCCUGGUGUGCAAUAUUUUCUAUUGCAACACUUUGGCUUUUUCUAUAUUCUUUCAAAUGCUCCCUCAGAAAACAUCACCUUAGUUGCUGAAGGCUACCAUUUAGUUAAAUGUAGAGCUGAAAGGUCAUCAUUGGCCACUUGGCAGGAUAUUGUCCUACGUGGUCCAGAUGUCACCUUUCAGGUUUUUUGGUGCUUUUUCUUCAAAAAAAAAGGCCUUCCAAUGCGUUGUGCUAUAAAUAUGCCUGUUAGUGUUGAUAAUGAGGUACAUUUUAUUACUUUCUUACUCUUUUGUUUGAGAUAUAUUAAUGUAAGCCCUAAGGUUUAGUUUCCAAAAUAUGUUCCCCUUCUUUUGGUCUUACAAUUGGGUCUUGAUUGCCUACAUUUUCUUCUGCAAGUUAUCUAUUAUUCGGCUAGUAUAUUAGUAUAUCUUAAGUCAUUCCAUAAGUUAAAGGUAAAUUGCAUGUCCUUUAUCCAGAUAUUCUGGAAUAACAUUUAUUGGAAUAGUUAAAUUUCAAUAUAAGAUUUGAUGCUAUUUCCCAUCCUUUAGGCAGGAAUUCGGGUAAUAAUUGCACACUUGAACUUUCUUGCUAUUGCAUAAUAUUACUAAUUUUAUUUCCUGUUAUUAUUUAAAUUACUUUUGAUUUGGGAAUCUUGUCCUUAACCUCUGAGUGAUGUAUAGUCAUAAAACUAAUAUGAAUGGAUUCUCAAAUGCUUUCAAAGCAUAUAGAUUAGCAGUUAUCUUAUUUGGUUUCAUUUUUUUGUUUUCCAUCAAACUCUCAAAUUCUGAAUGGAUGUUUUGAUCAUGUCCAUAAUUUCAUGAUAAUUUAAGUGCGUAAACUUCACAGUUUAUACUUUCCCCGAAAUUUAGUCUUCUCAGAUUAGUUAUCUAUAUUCUGUGCAAAGUAUGCCAGUAAAACUACCAGAUGCAGCAGAAUUUUUUUAGUUGUAGCUGCAAGUGCCACCCAUGUUUAAUUCAGUUAGCUUCCCAUUGUGAUUAAGAGAGGAAUAAUCUGGAAGCAAUUACCAAUUGGAGCAGAAUUGGGUUGGCUUACUUUCAUUUAGACUGACUUGACCUCUAUUGAUUUUGUUUUCAUCAAGUUAUAUUUUUGGUCUAUGAUGUUGUAUUUGAUUGAAAUUGUCAUUUGCUGAAAAAAUGGUUGCCAAAAGCACAAUGAUUUCAUAUAUAACAAACUGCUCAUAAUGGUUUUAUCAUUGAUCAGUUUUUCAUUUUUAAGUUCUCAGUUCGUUUUUAUAGUUUUGUGAAUUGUUAACGUUAGUGGUGGAAGCGUGAUGUCGGUUGCAUAUGCCAUAUAUUGUCUUCUAAAUCAGGUGUCACAACAUCUUGGGGCUCUAGUACAAUUUCUCAGUGUAACUGCGUGACUUUUUACUUAAUUAGUCCUACAGCAAGCAAAGGAUAUUCAGGGUUUCAAUCCAUGGUUUUCCACUAUGCCAUCUGGCUUUUGCAGCUUCGUGCCAUGCUCAAAUCAUGAUUUUGCUUUGUCUGUUUACCGGCUUGUAGUUUCAUCACCAAGUGGUAUGAUGCCUUCAUUUGAAAAAAGUUAGUUAUUCUGAUUUUCUGUUUACUGGCUUGUUGUUUUAUUAUUUUUAUUUCUAUUUGAAAUUUCAUCAACAAUCCAAUAUCCAAGUCAAGUUAGUUGUUAUCUCAGUGUGCAUACCACUUUGAUUUCACAACCAUGAAGAAUGCUACCGUUAGAUUGUUCAAGGUCUGAAAAAACAGAGUUAGUACUUGAAUGCACUGACAUGUGUAUGUAAUUGAGUUUGUGGGCUCUUGGCCAUGACAAACCACUUAUAUUUGACUUGGAUAUUGGAUUCAAGGAUUUAUCACUAUCGUUGUUAAUGAUUGGGUUCAUAUAGUUAUUGAAACUUCUAAUUUUUAUGCACACACUAAACUCUUAAUUAAGGAGC